UAAGUACUCCCUCCGCCCAGAAAUUCUUGUCGUAGAAAUGGAUACAAAUGGAUGUAUCUAGAACUAAAAUACAUCCAGAUACAUCCAUACGUGCGACAAGUAUUUCCGGACGGACGGAGUAUGAG
rfam:Triticum aestivum genome assembly, contig: Triticum_aestivum_CS42_TGACv1_scaffold_392766_5AS